rnacentral:rRNA from 1 species
AUGGCAUUAUUCCUGACAAAUCUCAUACUACUACCACUUCUCUUGCUCGCCAACUUCUCUCCUACACCUUCACUGUGCUAUGUUAGUCCAUAUGCUGCAAGGGUACACCAGAGUGCUACACAAACAUCUGCUUACCGCACUUACAUUGUGCUCGUUGAGCCACCUCCCCCAGGUGCCGAUGAAGAGGGGCAUCGUCGGUGGUACCAAACUUUCUUGCCGAGCUCACACAUCGGUGAAUCUGGGGAGCCACGUCUCCUCCACUCCUACACCGAGGUGUUUAGUGGCUUCACGGCGAAGCUCACAGAGGCUGAGCUUGAUGCGGUCGCCAAGAAUCCCAGGUUUGUGCGCGCGUUCCCAGACCGAAUGCUGCAACUCAUGACCACACACACACCGGAGUUCCUCGGGCUGAAGAAUGGCACCGGGUUUUGGAGCAAUGCAGGUUACGGGAAGGGAGUGAUUGUCGGGCUACUCGACACCGGGAUCUAUGCAUCACACUCUUCGUUCGACGAUCAUGGUGUCCCACCACCCCCGAUGAAGUGGAAGGGCUCAUGCAAGGCGGUCAGGUGCAACAACAAGCUCAUCGGUGCCAAAUCACUUGUUGGAGAUGAUGGCUCAUACGAUUAUGACGGGCAUGGAACACACACCUCAUCCACUGCUGCCGGGAACUUCGUCACUGGUGCGUCGGACCAUGGAGUGGGCAUGGGCACUGCUUCUGGAAUUGCUCCAGGUGCCCACAUCGCGAUGUACAAGGUGUGCACCGCCGAGGGCUGCGAAGAAUCCGCCGUAGUGGCUGGCAUGGAUGCGGCCAUCAAGGAUGGGGUGGACGUCCUCUCGCUGUCUCUCGGUAGCAGAACCAGUGUCAGCUUCAGAAAUGACCCCAUCGCCAUCGGUGCAUUCAGCGCAAUAUCGAAGGGCAUCAUUGUGGUGUGUGCCGCUGGCAACAGAGGUCCCAUUCCACAAUCGAUCACAAAUGAUGCGCCUUGGUUGCUCACGGUCGCCGCCGGCUCGGUGGACCGGAGGUUCGAUGCUGGUGUGCAUCUCGGCAACGGCAAGCACAUUGACGGAGAAGCACUUGCCCAGGUGACAAAGCCAACCUCAAAGCCAUACCCUCUCCUCUACUCCGAGGAACGGCGGUACUGCAAUUACGAGGGUGAUAGUAGCAUCGCUGGUAAGAUCCUGCUUUGCGAGGACAAUUUCUCGAAGGUUCAACAGUCCAAAAUCCGCAACAUAAUGAGCGCUGGUGUGGUAGGCGUGGUGUUGUUCAAUAACCGAAUCUGCGGCUACUCCACCUUUCUUCAUGCUUCCAACUCCAGUAUUGUACAGGUGACCGCGGCCGACGGCAACGCCCUCAUAGCUUACACCGCAUCAACGGAGAGCAGCUCCGCGGCGUCUCUCGCAUACAACGACACACAGUAUGGCGUCCGCCCAGCCCCGGUCGUGGCCUGGUUCUCUUCCCGGGGUCCAAGCAAACGUGCCCCUGGCAUCCUAAAACCGGACAUACUGGCACCGGGCCUCAACAUCCUUGCUGCUUGGCCGCCAAGCACGAGCUCUGGACAGGGCCUUUUCAACGUCAUAUCAGGCACAUCCAUGGCGACGCCACACGUAAGUGGUGUCGCGGCGCUCAUCAAAGCCAUCCAUCCCGACUGGUCACCGGCCGCCAUCAAGUCUGCCAUCCUGACUACGUUAGACAUCGUCAACAGUACCAGUGGCUCAAUCUUGGACGAGCAAUAUAAAAAGGCCGACGUAUAUGACAGAGGCGCCGGCCAUGUGAACCCGGCGAGAGCCGCCGACCCUGGCUUGGUGUAUGACCUCAACUCCGUUGACUACGCUGGCUACAUCUGCUGGCUCCUUGGUGACAGCGGCCUAGCAACCAUCAUGCGCAACUCAAGCUUGACUUGCGCGAAGCUGGCCAGGGUCCAGGAGGUGCAGCUUAACUACCCGACGAUAACUGUGCCGUUGACAUCGAUGCAGUUCACGGUGAACCGGACUGUGACGAACGUCGGGCCAGCGGAUUCGAAGUUCAAGGCCAAAGUGGAUGUGCCGAGGUCUCUGACAGUGCGCGUCGUCCCGGAGACGCUGUCGUUCUCCAAAAUCGGAGAGAAGAAGACCUUCAGUGUGUCGGUGAGCGGCCAUGGCUUGGACAAAGAAGGAGUGCACGUGGAGGGAAGCUUGAGCUGGGUAUCGGAGAAGCAUGUGGUGCGGAGCCCCAUCGUCUUCGUCGUCACAGGCGGUGGUACUGCUCCAGCUCCAGCGCCAUCAUCAUAA